GACGAACGCUGGCGGCGUGCUUAACACAUGCAAGUCGAACGGAAAGGCCCUGCUUGCCGGGUACUCGAGUGGCGAACGGGUGAGUAACACGUGGGUGAUCUGCCCUGCACUUCGGGAUAAGCUUGGGAAACUGGGUCUAAUACCGGAUAGGAACCAUCUUUAGUGUGGUGGUUGGAAAGUUUUUUCGGUGUAGGAUGAGCUCGCGGCCUAUCAGCCUGUUGGUGGGGUAAUGGCCUACCAAGGCGGCGACGGGUAGCCGGCCUGAGAGGGUGUACGGCCACAUUGGGACUGAGAUACGGCCCAGACUCCUACGGGAGGCAGCAGUGGGGAAUAUUGCACAAUGGGCGCAAGCCUGAUGCAGCGACGCCGCGUGGGGGAUGAAGGCCUUCGGGUUGUAAACUCCUUUCGCUAGGGACGAAGCUUUGUUGUGACGGUACCUAGAUAAGAAGCACCGGCUAACUACGUG
rnacentral:rRNA from 1 species